rnacentral:rRNA from 1 species
GUGAGGAAUAUUGGUCAAUGGGCGCAAGCCUGAACCAGCCAUCCCGCGUGCAGGAAGAAGGCGCUAUGCGUCGUAAACUGCUUUUUCAGGGGAAGAAAAUCCUGUACGUGUACGGGACUGACGGUACCCUGUGAAUAAGCAUCGGCUAACUCCGUGCCAGCAGCCGCGGUAAUACGGAGGAUGCGAGCGUUAUCCGGAUUCAUUGGGUUUAAAGGGUGCGUAGGCGGAACGAUAAGUCAGUGGUGAAAUUCUGCAGCUUAACUGUAGACGUGCCAUUGAUACUGUCAGUCUUGAGUAUGGUCAAGGUAGGCGGAAUGUGUAAUGUAGCGGUGAAAUGCUUAGAUAUUACACAGAACACCGAUUGCGAAGGCAGCUUGCUGGGCCAUUACUGACGCUGAUGCACGAAAGCGUGGGGAUCAAACAGGAUUAGAAACCCGGGUAGUCC